rnacentral:rRNA from 1 species
CCUACGGGAGGCAGCAGUGAGGAAUAUUGGUCAAUGGGCGCGAGCCUGAACCAGCCAAGUAGCGUGAAGGAUGACUGCCCUACGGGUUGUAAACUUCUUUUAUAAAGGAAUAAAGUGAGGCACGUAUGCCGUUUUGGAUGUACUUUAUGAAUAAGGAUCGGCUAACUCCGUGCCAGCAGCCGCGGUAAUACGGAGGAUCCGAGCUUUAUCCGGAUUUAUGGGGUUUAAAGGGAGCGUAGAGGGGUUGUUAAGUCAGUUGUGAAAGUUUGCGGCUCAACCGUAAAAUUGCAAUUGAUACUGGCAGCCUUGAGUACAGUUGAGGUAGGCGGCAUUCGUGGUGUAGCGGU